GACAAACGCUGGCGGCGUGCCUAAUACAUGCAAGUCGAACGACGAAAGCCUUCGGGCAAGUAAGAGUGGCGCACGGGCGAGGAACACGUAGAUAAUCUGCCCUUCAGUGGGGAAUAACUCUCCGAAAGGAGUGCUAAUACCGCAUAAGACCACAAGCUCUGCGGAGCAAGGGGUUAAAGGAUUUAUUCGCUGAAGGAUGAGUCUGCGUCCGAUUAGCUAGUUGGUGAGGUAAUGGCUUACCAAGGCAAUGAUCGGUAGAUGGUCUGAGAGGAUGAUCAUCCGCACUGGAACUGAGACACGGUCCAGACUCCUACGGGAGGCGGCAGUAGGGAAUAUUGCACAAUGGGGGAAACCCUCAUGCAGCAACGCCGCGUGAGUGAUGAAGGCUCUAGGGUCGUAAAGCUCUGUCGUAUGGGAAGAAAAAAAUGACGGUACCAUACAAGAAAGGACCGGCCAACUUCGUGCCAGCCGCCGCAGUAA
rnacentral:rRNA from 1 species